UCCGAGUUGACCCCGGCAGUCUCCUAUGAGUCCCCGGCCGAACCGCUGGCAACAUAGGACGAGGGUUGCGCUCGUUGCGGGACUUAACCCAACAUCUCACGACACGAGCUGACGACAGCCAUGCAGCACCUGUGUUCCCGUUCCCUUUCGGGCACACCCGGCUUUCACCAGGCUCCAGGACAUGUCAAGGGUAGGUAAGGUUUUUCGCGUUGCAUCGAAUUAAUCCACAUAAUCCACCGCUUGUGCGGGUCCCCGUCAAUUCCUUUGAGUUUUAACCUUGCGGCCGUACUCCCCAGGCGGUCAACUUCACGCGUUAGCUUCGUUACCAAGGAAUUACUUCCCCGACAACCAGUUGACAUCGUUUAGGGCGUGGACUAC
rnacentral:misc_RNA from 1 species